GGGGGUGUGUGUGGGGAGGGUUAAUACCCCAUGGAGCAUAGUCGAUACGAGCAAGUGAAAUGCCAAGAGUGUUAAGUCCUGGUAUUUGGGCUACAUUGACGGGGGUAACCUUAGACCCUACUGCAUUUGAUGUAUUGCCUAGCAAGUGAAGUCCACUGAAGGAGAAAUCCUUGGCUUGCACCAUCUUGGGAUCCUUGCAUGCA
rnacentral:misc_RNA from 1 species